rnacentral:rRNA from 1 species
UACGAAGGGUGCAAGCGUUAAUCGGAAUUACUGGGCGUAAAGGGUGCGUAGGCGGUUGUUUAAGUCUGUCGUGAAAUCCCCGGGCUCAACCUGGGAACGGCGCCGGAAACUGGAGCGCUUGAGUGUCGGAGAGGGGAGUGGAAUUCUCGGUGUAGCGGUGAAAUGCGUAGAGAUCGAGAGGAACACCCGUGGCGAAGGCGGCUCCCUGGCCGAACACUGACGCUGAGACGCGAAAGCGUGGGGAGCGAACGGG